GACACAGCAAACACCUUCCAGCCAGGUGAAGAGGAGGGAGAUCAGCUUCCUCUUGAGGGUCACCCCCACUAGAUCACAAUGUACUGUUCUUUCCCUUUCCAGCAUGAGUGAGGUUAGACUUCAGGAGAGCUCUAAUCAGUGAAGGAAAUGCAGUGGAACGAACCCACUUUGCUCCAGUCUUCCCGGGCUGAACUUUGCCAGGCCCAGAAGAGUUGGCCAGACACAGUGUGCUUCUUGUGAGCUACUCAGUGAAGACACCACCUCAACACACCCAACAUCCUCAUGAGAGGUAGUGGGCUCCCUCUCCUGCAGACUCAAAGCUCUGUCAAAACAGGGGCCGUGUUUACUGUGUUCAACACUAUAUAUCCAGCAACUGGUGGGCUCCCUUGCACACAGAAUGAACUAGUCCCUUCAGGAGUGCAUGAGGUGGGCGUUUUUCCCGUUUUAUAGAAGAGGAAACCGAGGCCCAAGAGACUGCCUGGUCCAAUGGCAGUGGGCGGCAGAGCUGGGACUGAGCCCCGUCUCCUGGAGCCCGCUCUGGUACACACGGUCGCACCCACAGGCUUGGGGUCCCUGCCCGCAGGUCCCCGCUAUGCCCCGUGGAGCCCUGGGGCAUCCCCUGUGGCCAUGGACGUGGGCGUCUGGCUGAGGGGAGGAGAGGCCAGCCCUGUCCCCAGGGAGCCGGGACGUGCUCUUCCUGUGUCCCCGGGUGGGUUGGGCUCUGCAGCAUCAAAAAUGGUCAAGGGAGGAGACUUUAAGGCCACUGUUCUAUGUGCAGAAACUUCGGAGCCUUACUGCAGCCUUCCUUUUAGUGUGAGUUCUUCUGUCUUCUUCCCGGACUUAAAAGGCAUCAUCUGUAUGUGGUGCACGGCCUCAGGAGGGGCUUUUGUUGUCGUUUUCCUGGGUGGAUUUUUGUGCUUCCUAAACUAUCUGUUUGGAUAAUGUAUUAUUUUUAUAAUUGGAGAAAAAAAUAA